AACGAACGCUGGCGGCAUGCCUAACACAUGCAAGUCGAACGAGACCUUCGGGUCUAGUGGCGCACGGGUGCGUAACGCGUGGGAACCUGCCCUUAGGUUCGGAAUAACUCCCCGAAAGGGGUGCUAAUACCGGAUAAUGUCUUCGGACCAAAGAUUUAUCGCCUUUGGAUGGGCCCGCGUUGGAUUAGCUAGUUGGUAGGGUAAAAGCCUACCAAGGCGACGAUCCAUAGCUGGUCUGAGAGGAUGAUCAGCCACACUGGGACUGAGACACGGCCCAGACUCCUACGGGAGGCAGCAGUGGGGAAUAUUGGACAAUGGGCGAAAGCCUGAUCCAGCAAUGCCGCGUGAGUGAUGAAGGCCUUAGGGUUGUAAAGCUCUUUUACCCGGGAUGAUAGUGACAGAACCGGGAGAAUAAGCUCCGGCGAACUCCGU
rnacentral:rRNA from 1 species